rnacentral:rRNA from 1 species
GAUGAACGCUGGCGGCGUGCCUAAUACAUGCAAGUCGAGCGAACGGACGAGAAGCUUGCUUUUCUGAUGUUAGCGGCGGACGGGUGAGUAACACGUGGAUAACCUACCUAUAAGACUGGGAUAACUUCGGGAAACCGGAGCUAAUACCGGAUAAUAUUUUGAACCGCAUGGUUCAAAAGUGAAAGACGGUCUUGCUGUCACUUAUAGAUGAAUCCGCGCUGCAUUAGCUAGUUGGUAAGGUAACGGCUUACCAAGGCAACGAUGCAUAGCCGACCUGAGAGGGUGAUCGGCCACACUGGAACUGAGACACGGUCCAGACUCCUACGGGAGGCAGCAGUAGGGAAUCUUCCGCAAUGGGCGAAAGCCUGACGGAGCAACGCCGCGUGAGUGAUGAAGGUCUUCGGAUCGUAAAACUCUGUUAUUAGGGAAGAACAUAUGUGUAAGUAACUGUGCACAUCUUGACGGUACCUAAUCAGAAAGCCACGGCUAACUACGUG